UAGCUCAGUUGGUAGAGCAGUUGACUUUUAAUCAAUUGGUCGCAGGUUCGAAUCCUGCACGACCCACCAAUCGCAAAGUGUGUGGCGAUUGUAAAAACGUGAAGGGUAACGUUGCGUAAGCAACGGCCCGUAGGGCGAGGCGAAGCCGAGUCAUCCUGCACGACCCACCA
rnacentral:sRNA from 1 species